GAUGAACGCUAGCUACAGGCUUAACACAUGCAAGUCGAGGGGAAACGGCAUUAAGUGCUUGCACUUUUUGGACGUCGACCGGCGCACGGGUGAGUAACGCGUAUCCAACCUUCCCAUGACUAAGGGAUAACCUGCCGAAAGGCAGACUAAUACCUUAUGGUCUUCACUGACGGCAUCAGAUGUGAAGUAAAGAUUUAUCGGUUAUGGAUGGGGAUGCGUCUGAUUAGCUUGUUGGCGGGGUAACGGCCCACCAAGGCAACGAUCAGUAGGGGUUCUGAGAGGAAGGUCCCCCACAUGGGAACUGAGACACGGUCCAAACUCCUACGGGAGGCAGCAGUGAGGAAUAUUGGUCAAUGGGCGAGAGCCUGAACCAGCCAAGUAGCGUGCAGGAUGACGGCCCUAUGGGUUGUAAACUGCUUUUGUAUGGGGAUAAAGUCAAUCACGUGUGAUUGUUUGCAGGUACCAUACGAAUAAGGACCGGCUAAGUCCGUG
rnacentral:rRNA from 1 species